GACAGAGGGUGCAAACGUUGUUCGGAAUUACUGGGCGUAAAGCGCGUGUAGGCUGCUCGGAAAGUCGGGUGUGAAAGCCCAGGGCUCAACCCUGGAAGUGCACUCGAAACUCCCGAGCUUGAGUUCCGGAGAGGACGGCGGAAUUCUCGGUGUAGAGGUGAAAUUCGUAGAUAUCGAGAGGAACACCGGUGGCGAAGGCGGCCGUCUGGACGAAAACUGACGCUGAGACGCGAAAGCGUGGGGAGCAAACAGGAUUAGAUACCCUGGUAGUCCACGCCGUAAACGAUGGGUGCUAGGUGUCGCGGGCUUUGACCCCUGCGGUGCCGCAGCUAACGCAUUAAGCACCCCGCCUGGGGAGUACGGCCGCAAGGCUAAA
rnacentral:rRNA from 1 species